rnacentral:rRNA from 1 species
AGAACCUUACCUGGUCUUGACAUCCACAGAACUUUCCAGAGAUGGAUUGGUGCCUUCGGGAACUGUGAGACAGGUGCUGCAUGGCUGUCGUCAGCUCGUGUUGUGAAAUGUUGGGUUAAGUCCCGCAACGAGCGCAACCCUUAUCCUUUGUUGCCAGCGGUUCGGCCGGGAACUCAAAGGAGACUGCCAGUGAUAAACUGGAGGAAGGUGGGGAUGACGUCAAGUCAUCAUGGCCCUUACGACCAGGGCUACACACGUGCUACAAUGGCAUAUACAAAGAGAAGCGACCUCGCGAGAGCAAGCGGACCUCAUAAAGUAUGUCGUAGUCCGGAUUGGAGUCUGCAACUCGACUCCAUGAAGUCGGAAUCGCUAGUAAUCGUAGAUCAGAAUGCUACGGUGAAUACGUUCCCGGGCCUUGUACACACCGCCCGUCACACCAUGGGAGUGGGUUGCAAAAGAAGUAGGUAGCUUAACCUUCGGGAGGGCGCUUACCACUUUGUGAUUCAUGACUGGGGUGAAGUCGUAACAAGGUAACCGUAGGGGAACCUGCGGCUGGAACACCUCCUUCUAA